rnacentral:rRNA from 1 species
GAUGAACGCUGGCGGCGUGCUUAACACAUGCAAGUCGAACGGUGAGAGCAGAACUUUCUCUGCUGGAUCAUUGGCGAACGGGUGUGUAACACAUGAGCAAUCUGCCCCUGUCUGUGUGAGAAGCCCUGGAAACGGCGGCUAUUACUGGAUACGAUCUACUGAGGCGUCUUCAUCAGCUGUAAAGAACUGCGUUCAGGGAUGAGCUCGCGGCCUAUCAGCUUGUUGGUGAGGUAACGGCUCACCAAGGCUUCGACGGGUAGCCGGCCUGAGAGGGUGACCGGGCACCAUGGGACUGCGACAGGGACCAGACGCCAACGGGAGGCAGUAGUGGGGAAUAUUGCACAACGGGGGAAAGUCUGAUGUAGCAACGCCGCGUGAGGGAAGACGGCCUUCGGGUUGUAAACCUCUUUUAGCAGGGAAGAAGCGAAAUUGACGGUACCUGCAGAAAAAGCGCCGGCUAACUACGUG